rnacentral:rRNA from 1 species
UACGUAGGGGGCAAGCGUUGUCCGGAAUCAUUGGGCGUAAAGCGCGCGUAGGCGGCCCGGUAAGUCCGCUGUAAAAGUCCAGGGCUCAACCCUGGAAAGCCGGUGGAUACUGUCGGGCUAGAGUCCGGAAGAGGCGAGUGGAAUUCCUGGUGUAGCGGUGGAAUGCGCAGAUAUCAGAAGGAACACCGAUGGCGAAGGCAGGUCUCUGGGCCACUACUGACGCUGAGAAGCGAAAGCGUGGGGAGCGAACAGG